GACGAACGCUGGCGGCGUGCUUAACACAUGCAAGUCGAACGGUGAACCGGGCUUCGGCGCGGGGAUCAGUGGCGAACGGGUGCGUAACACGUGGGCAACCUGCCCCAGACACUGGGAUAACUCCGGGAAACCGGGGCUAAUACCGGAUACUCUCAACCGGCCGCAUGACCGGUUGAGGAAAGCUCCGGCGGUCUGGGAUGGGCCCGCGGCCUAUCAGCUUGUUGGUGGGGUAACGGCCUACCAAGGCGACGACGGGAGCUGGUCUGAGAGGACGGCCAGCCACACUGGGACUGAGACACGGCCCAGACUCCUACGGGAGGCAGCAGUGGGGAAUCUUGCACAAUGGGCGCAAGCCUGAUGCAGCGACGCCGCGUGGGGAUGAA
rnacentral:rRNA from 1 species